GCUUAAAGAGUUUCCGACUUAAGUAUGAUGUUGUGUUUGCAUAUUGUUUGGAUACAUUUUACUGACCAAACAUAGUAGUUUGACAACAAUGUUGAAUUACUCAAUUUUACUUCCUGUAUUAAUGAUUUACGCCACUCUAUGAGUGGUGUUUUUUUUG
rnacentral:other from 1 species